UAUUCGACAUGAAAUUUUUUUAUUAAAACAAAAAUCAGGGGCCAUUUCAUAAUUUUACACACUCGAAGCUUUUAUCCGAAUGCUCAUUCUUCGACGGUGUUGGGGACGACGAUGAUGGCGGCUCUGAGCUUCACCAAGCCCACGACGGCGGCGAUGGCGCCUCUGGUGAGAUGCCGGACGAGAAGAGCCGGAACGGAGGGCAAGAUGGCAAGCCAAAGCAAUGGAUACAAGAGCAACAAGAAGGUAUGGAGGAACGAGGACGAUGGGAAUGCCGCCAUGGUAGCCUCGAGAGACCGAGUGACGGGUUUCGGGAAAGGAGAAAAGAAGAUGGCCCCCAAAUGGCAGUGCUCCCGCGGUUGCGGCGCUUGCUGCAAGCUCGACAAGGGCCCUUCCUUCCCUUCCCCGGAGGAGAUCUUCAUAGACGAUCCCAAUAACCUCCAGCUUUAUAAGAGCCUUAUCGGUCCGGAUGGAUGGUGUAUUCACUAUGAGAGCUCCACCAGGACAUGCUCAAUCUACGAAGAACGUCCCUUCUUCUGCCGGGUGGAGCCUGAUGUCUUUCAGAAGUUGUAUGGCGUUGAUCCGAAGAGGUUUAACAGAGAGGCCUGCAGCUCUUGCAGGGAUACCAUCUCAUCUAUUUAUGGGUCAGCUUCUGAAGAACUGAAACUUUUCAAUCAAAAUCUAUGGAACUCUUGACUGUGCUCAGCUACAUUCCCUGUAAGAAGUCUCACUUUGAAUUUUCCUCAUCAAUGUAUUGAAAUUUGAAAAGGUGUGCAGCCUAAGAUAUUAUGAGUUAUCAGGUGCUACAUCAGAACAGCUGAUCUCGUUGAGAUUCCUGGCAACAUUUCUCAAUGCAUUUAUACACAAUUUUGCUUGCAUAUGGUAUGAUAAUCUUCUUGCAUUUGCAGAUUCUUGAAGAAAUUAUUGUAGUUUAUUGGUUAUGGUGUUACUGAAAUGCUGUCAAAUGGCAUAAGAUGUUUGCAGAUUCUUGAUGGGCCAGGAGGAGAUCCGUUGUUCCUCCUAUUUUGUUGUGUUAUUUUGUGGCUCCACAUCUAGUGGACUUCUUUUGUAUCGGUUCUGUAUUUUUAUAGUACUAACAGGUUGCUUGAUUUUCUAACUAAACCGGUUGGGAUGGAGUCGUGAACAAGCAAAAUCCACCA